GUCCAUAUAGAUUAUUUUUUAAAUCAUGAUGCUGUUAACUUCAAGAAGGAAUUUUUUUCUGUGGUCG
rnacentral:tRNA from 1 species